rnacentral:rRNA from 1 species
AUAUCAAUAAGCGGAGGAAAAGAAACUAACAAGGAUUCCCCUAGUAACUGCGAGUGAAGCGGGAAAAGCUCAAAUUUAAAAUCUGCAGGUCUGCUGGCUGUUCGAGUUGUAAUCUAGAGAAGUGCUUAUCCGCGCUGGACCGUGUACAAGUCUCCUGGAAUGGAGCGUCAUAGAGGGUGAGAAUCCCGUCUUUGACACGGACUACCAGGGCUUAUGUGAUAUGCUUCUCAAAGAGUCGAGUUGUUUGGGAAUGCAGCUCUAAAUGGGUGGUAAAUUCCAUCUAAAGCUAAAUAUUGGCGAGAGACCGAUAGCGAACAAGUACCGUGAGGGAAAGAUGAAAAGAACUUUGGAAAGAGGAGUUAAACAGUAC